rnacentral:rRNA from 1 species
GCGUAAGAGCUCGUAGGCGGUUUGUCGCGUCUGCUGUGAAAGACCGGGGCUCAACUCCGGUUCUGCAGUGGGUACGGGCAGACUAGAGUGCAGUAGGGGAGACUGGAAUUCCUGGUGUAGCGGUGAAAUGCGCAGAUAUCAGGAGGAACACCGAUGGCGAAGGCAGGUCUCUGGGCUGUAACUGACGCUGAGGAGCGAAAGCAUGGGGAGCGAACAGGAUUAGAUACCCUGGUAGUCCAUGCCGUAAACGUUGGGCACUAGGUGUGGGGGACAUUCCACGUUUUCCGCGCCGUAGCUAACGCAUUAAGUGCCCCGCCUGGGGAGUACGGCCGCAAGGCUAAAACUCAAAGGAAUUGACGGGGGCCCGCACAAGCGGCGGAGCAUGCGGAUUAAUUCGAUGCAACGCGAAGAACCUUACCAAGGCUUGACAUGAACCGGAGAGACCUGGAAACAGGUGCCCCGCUUGCGGUCGGUUUACAGGUGGUGCAUGGUUGUCGUCAGCUCGUGUCGUGAGAUGUUGGGUUAAGUCCCGCAACGAGCGCAACCCUCGUUCUAUGUUGCCAGCGCGUUAUGGCGGGGACUCAUAGGAGACUG